AUAAACUGGAGAGUUUCCUGUCUCCUGUAACAGCGAGUGUGAUUGGAGGGUGUUGGACCUCUUUCUCUCUCAUUAAGGGGUGUGAGAGGAUGCCUGUACUUCUGUAUCAUCAGUGCGGAGAAGCUUGAACUGGAUGUUGAAUUAAUCAAGCAGAGAGAGAUGGAGAGAUGCCUGACACGUUUUACUGACUACAGUUAUAAAACUCAUCACAGCUGACGGUGUGAAUGUGAGGUUGGUUGGUGGUCACAGUCGCUGUGCUGGUAGAGUGGAGGUUCUUCAUAGAGGUCAGUGGGGAACAGUGUGUGAUGAUUUCUGGGAUUUGGCUGAUGCUGCAGUGGUGUGUAGAGAGCUGGACUGUGGAGAACCUGUAGAUGC